rnacentral:piRNA from 1 species
UGGUUGCAGAGCAUCUGUGAGUGUC